GAUGAACGCUGGCGGCGUGCUUAACACAUGCAAGUCGAACGAACCUUCGGGGUUAGUGGCGGACGGGUGAGUAACGCGUGAGAAUCUGCCCUCAGGAGGGGGAUAACGGCUGGAAACGGCCGCUAAUACCCCAUAUGCCGAGAGGUGAAAUGAAUUUCGCCUGAGGAUGAGCUCGCGUCUGAUUAGCUUGUUGGUGGGGUAAUGGCCUACCAAGGCGACGAUCAGUAGCUGGUCUGAGAGGAUGAUCAGCCACACUGGGACUGAGGCACGGCCCAGACUCCUACGGGAGGCAGCAGUGGGGAAUUUUCCGCAAUGGGCGAAAGCCUGACGGAGCAACGCCGCGUGAGGGAUGAAGGCCUCUGGGCUGUAAACCUCUUUUAUCAAGGAAGAAGAUCUGACGGUACUUGAUGAAUAAGCCACGGCUAAUUCCGUG
rnacentral:rRNA from 1 species